rnacentral:rRNA from 1 species
UUUAAUUGAAGAGUUUGAUCAUGGCUCAGAUUGAACGCUGGCGGCAGGCCUAACACAUGCAAGUCGAGCGGCAGCACAGAGGAACUUGUUCCUUGGGUGGCGAGCGGC